AUGUGGUUAAAUCUUCUGUCCUUACUAGUUGUCCUCAAAGGAAUCCAAUCUGUGGUCCAGUUGGUGGAGUCUGGAGGGGAUGUGAGAAGACCUGGGGAGUCCCUCCGUCUCUCCUGCCAAGCUUCUGGAUUCACCUUCAGCAGCUAUGAGAUGGUCUGGGUGAGACAGGCUCCAGGAAAAGGACUGGAAUGGGUGGCAUACAUAAACAUCGAUUCUGGUACUUCCUACUCAGACGAAGUGAAGGGACGCUUCACCAUCUCCAGGGACAAUGCCAAAAGCCAGCUGUCUCUGCAAAUGAAUAAUCUCAAAGCUGAAGACACAGCAGUCUAUUACUGUGCCAGGGACACAGUGAGAGGAAGUGAAUACCAUUACUUUUACCUUUUUUAUCAUGGCAGAAGACUGGAAAUGAAACUUCAAGAUAUGUAA